rnacentral:rRNA from 1 species
UAGGGAAUCUUCCGCAAUGGGCGAAAGCUUGACGGAGCAACGCCGCGUGAGUGAUGAAGGUCUUCGGAUCGUAAAACUCUGUUAUUAGGGAAGAACAAAUGUGUAAGUAACUAUGCACGUCUUGACGGUACCUAAUCAGAAAGCCACGGCUAACUACGUGCCAGCAGCCGCGGUAAUACGUAGGUGGCAAGCGUUAUCCGGAAUUAUUGGGCGUAAAGCGCGCGUAGGCGGUUUUUUAAGUCUGAUGUGAAAGCCCACGGCUCAACCGUGGAGGGUCAUUGGAAACUGGAGAACUUGAGUGCAGAAGAGGAAAGUGGAAUUCCAUGUUUAGCGGUGAAAUGCGCAGAGAUAUGGAGGAACACCAGUGGCGAAGGCGACUUUCUGGUCUGUAACUGACGCUGAUGUGCGAAAGCGUGGGGAUCAAACAGG